UGGCGGACGGGUGAGUAACGCGUGGAAAACCUGCCGUAUACUGGGGGAUAACACUUAGAAAUAGGUGCUAAUACCGCAUAAGCGCACAGCUUCGCAUGAAGCGGUGUGAAAAACUCUGGUGGUAUACGAUGGUUCCGCGUCUGAUUAGCUAGUUGGUGGGGUAAUGGCCUACCAAGGUAACGAUCAGUAGCCGGCCUGAGAGGGUGAACGGCCACAUUGGGACUGAGACACGGCCCAAACUCCUACGGAAGGCAGCAG
rnacentral:rRNA from 1 species